UGGGGAAUAUUGCACAAUGGGCGCAAGCCUGAUGCAGCCAUGCCGCGUGUAUGAAGAAGGCCUUCGGGUUGUAAAGUACUUUCAGCGGGGAGGAAGGUGGUAAGGUUAAUAACCUUAUCAAUUGACGUUACCGACAGAAGAAGCACCGGCUAACUCCGUGCCAGCAGCCGCGGUAAUACGGAGGGUGCAAGCGUUAAUCGGAAUUACUGGGCGUAAAGCGCACGCAGGCGGUUGAUUGAGUCAGAUGUGAAAUCCCCGGGCUUAACCCGGGAAUUGCAUCUGAUACUGGUCAGCUAGAGUCUUGUAGAGGGGGGUAGAAUUCCAUGUGUAGCGGUGAAAUGCGUAGAGAUGUGGAGGAAUACCGGUGGCGAAGGCGGCCCCCUGGACAAAGACUGACGCUCAGGUGCGAAAGCGUGGGGAGCAAACAGG
rnacentral:rRNA from 1 species